GAACGCUAGCGACAGGCUAACACAUGCAAGUCGAGGGGUAACAGGGUAGCAAUACCGCUGACGACCGGCGCACGGGUGAGUAACGCGUAUGCAACCUGCCUAGUAACUGGGGAAUAGCUCCCGUGAAAGGGGAAUUAACACCGCAUAACACUAUUGAUUCGCAUGGAUUAGUAGUUAAAUGUAGCGAUACAGGUUAUAGAUGGGCAUGCGUGACAUUAGCUAGUUGGUGAGGUAACGGCUCACCAAGGCUACGAUGUCUAGGGGUUCUGAGAGGAAGGUCCCCCACACUGGUACUGAGACACGGACCAGACUCCUACGGGAGGCAGCAGUGAGGAAUAUUGGUCAAUGGGCGCAAGCCUGAACCAGCCAUGUCGCGUGCAGGAAGACUUGCCCUAUGGGUUGUAAACUGCUUUUAUAGUAGAAGAAACACAUCUACGUGUAGAUGUCUGCCAGUAUACUAUGAGUAAGCAUCGGCUAACUCCGUGCCAGCCGCUGC
rnacentral:rRNA from 1 species